rnacentral:rRNA from 1 species
AAAUUGAAGAGUUUGAUCAUGGCUCAGAUUGAACGCUGGCGGCAGGCCUAACACAUGCAAGUCGAACGGUAACAGGAAGCAGCUUGCUGCUUCGCUGACGAGUGGCGGACGGGUGAGUAAUGUCUGGGAAACUGCCUGAUGGAGGGGGAUAACUACUGGAAACGGUGGCUAAUACCGCAUAACGUCGCAAGACCAAAGAGGGGGACCUUCGGGCCUCUUGCCAUCAGAUGUGCCCAGAUGGGAUUAGCUGGUUGGUGAGGUAACGGCUCACCAAGGCGACGAUCCCUAGCUGGUCUGAGAGGAUGACCAGCCACACUGGAACUGAGACACGGUCC